AAUAUAAUAAAACACUGUCAGGGCCUUACAAAAGACCCACUGAUCAAUUUUUGAAAACCUUGUUCUCUUGAGGGCACGGUA
rnacentral:snRNA from 15 species